CAGGGGGCGGGGCCUCCGAGCUCAUUAGCAUCCGGCCGGACGUCGGCCGCAGCGCCCCCAGCCGGCCGCGACGAGCGCGUGUUGGAGGUUGAAGUCCCAAGUGCUGGAGAACAGGUGAAUUGGAUGGGUUCCAUAGACCCACACUUUAUUCUUCUUAGAGACCUGAGCUCAGGCAACAGCUGGAUAGAAUAAAAGGGAUGCUUUUAGUCUUAACCUUUUUUGACAGUUGCUUUAUUGUUACUCGGCAUUAAUUUUCUAUUAUAGACUAUUUGCUUAGCAUGCUUAAGGUCCUGGAAUUGAUCGGCGGCGCAUUAAAAACAAAACAAAACAAAUUUGUCUUAUUUUCUGAGGUCCAGUCUGGCCUCAAACUCCCCAUAUAGUCAAGGAGUCCUUGAACUCCGGAUUCUCUUCCUCUCCCUCCCUAGUCCUGGGAUUUUAGCAGGUCUCUGGUGGUGUUGAAGAUUGAACCCAGUGCCUUGUACUCUGCUAGUUGAGCUACAGCCCAGCCCCCCCCCCCCCAGAGACUAAUUAUCUCAUAUCUCCGAAGAGGAAAGAGUAGGAAGUGGAUCUAGUCAUCUGAAACCAAGGCGUCAGCUGGGCUUGUUCUUCCAAGGACCUUUCCUUUUCCCGCUUCUCGAAAUCACCUGCAUUUCUUUGUCAAUGGCCCUCCCUCUACACCAAAAUCAGUAAUGAGGAGUUGAGUCUGUCACAUUCCAUAACUGACAUCUCUCGUCAUCACAGGCCACUCGCUCCACUGCAGGGUCCUUUGCCUUGGGAACACACUCAGACUCCAGGAAUUAUGAAGCAGACGUCUUUGAGAGUUGUUCAGAACGGCGUUAGGCUAUUAAGUCUGAAUGCUGGGUGGAUAUUCAUGACUGAAAAGUAAGCUUAGUAGUGUGGCUGGAGAUGGCAGCCCACCUGGCACCACAGAGCUCAGGAAGCAGAGGCAGGAUAGCUGUAGGUUAAGGUCAGCUAACACACAGCAAACAGGUCCUAAACAUUGCCCACCCCCAAAAGCUCAGAAUGCUGACUGCUUAUAAGAGCGUGAAAAUGAGUCAGUGAUGUAAGUACCACAGUGUUUACCACAGGUCAGGUGUUCAUUUUGAGAACUGGUGAGCUGAAUAAGAAUGUUUGCCACAGAUAGGCUUGAGUUUGAACGCUUGGUUCUCAGUUGGUGGGAACUGUUUAGAGGAUUAGGUGGUAUGCCCAUGUUGGAGGCGGUGUGUCCCUGGGGGUGGGCUCUGAGGCUUUAAAAGUCCACCCCACCCAUUCCCAGUUCCCUCUCUCUGCCUCAUGCUUGUAGCUAAGGUCUAAGUUAUUUUGGCUACUGCUCCGGCAUCAUGCCCACCGGCUAGCUGCCAUGUUCUCUUCAAUGUCGGGUCUUGCGCUUUAAUCCUCUGGAACGGAGAGCCCCUCCCCCAUCCAGUGAUUUCAUUUACAAGUUGCUUUGGCCUUGGUGUUUUGUCACAAUAGGAAAGUUAAGACAGGGAUUCUACUGAGUCAGUUCUGACUGUAACGGUCUCUGGCUUUGCAUUUACAGGGACCUCGGGGGAAGAAUGCCUUCUUAGUAUGGGACGACUGGUCAUGACAGUGGUCAAAGGGAGUUUAGUGGGGCUGGAGGGAUGGCUUCCUGGUUAAGAGCACUUAAUAUUCUUACAAAGGACGGGUUUGAUUCCCAGCAUCCAAAUGGUGGCUUACAACCACCCUUAACUCCAGUUCCGGGGACCCGGUGAUUUAUCUGUGAGGGCACUGGGCAUGAAUGUGGUACACAUACACAGAUGCAAACAAAACAAAUAAAAUACCCCCCACCCUGCCACCGCCCCACCGCAAAGGCUUGUGUACAGCCUGAAGUUAUGGAGGCAUUUUCUGGAUCGAGGUCCCCUCCUUGUAUCAGGUUGAUACGGACUGUCAGCAAAGUCCAAAUACUCCGAUCGCUGAGGGACAAAGGAAGUGCCUGACAUGUCUGGUCACAGUAAGUCUAAAAACAGUUUCAUAUCAGAUGAUCCACAGCCUGUACACAUCACAGUACAAGACAUUACUUAGUCCUUUCACAACUAUGCAUUCUACUCAGCCCGUUUGAUUUUCACCCAAAGCAACGGAUACGGCAGUUUGUCAGUAUCUUUAUUCACAAAUCAGUGUAACAGUGGCACUCAGUUGCAGUGUUCCAUGGAUCAGAGAUCGUGACAAGAAUACGUACAACAGAAAAGUUAUUUACACAAAGAAGCCAUUCGAUAUGCAGCCUUGGGUAGUAGCCCCAGCUCUCCCCAUUGAUUCUCCUAGUUUGGGGUUUGGGUUGGGUAGUUUCUUGGUUCUUCUAUCUGUGAACGAGGGUGUAACAGAUUCCACAGAAACCAGACUUCUGAGGAUAAGCAGCAGCAGUGG
rnacentral:sRNA from 1 species